UACGUAGGUGGCAAGCGUUGUCCGGAUUUACUGGGCGUAAAGAGCGCGCAGGCGGCUGGUCAAGUCCGAUGUGAAAUCUCCCGGCUCAACUGGGAAACUGCAUCGGAAACUGAUCGGCUUGAAGGUGGGAGAGGGUAGUGGAAUUCCCGGUGUAGAGGUGAAAUUCGUAGAUAUUCGCAAGAACACCAGUGGCGAAGGCGGCUCACUGGCCCGAUACUGACGCUGAGGCACGAAAGCGUGGGGAGCAAACAGG
rnacentral:rRNA from 1 species